CUUGGCCGGCUCAGUUGGGGAAGCACGUGACUCUUGAUCUCAGAGUCAUGAACUCAAGCUUCAGGUUGUCCAGAGAACUCACUUAAAAAUAAAUAAAUCAGUUUAAAAAAAAGUGCGUAUGGGAGAGAGAGAAAUUAAUUGGCCUCAGCUGGGCAAUUUUGCACACUUGACCAACAGCUUCAAUUCACAUCCCCAAGUCUCAAAAGAGCAUCUCCUGCUGACCUUGUAGGCUCCCCAGCUCCAUUCCUCACACCCAGAGGAGCCCCGAGGGCCUGGCUGUGGCGAGGAGCCACAGGAAAGGUCUAGAACAGGAUGCCACGUUGGCAGAAGGUUUCUCUUAUCAGGGACGCACAGAGAAAGAAAGUCUCCUUGUUCGGGGAGGGUUUCUUUUGUUUGCUUUUUCUUUUCUCUUUAGCUGAGGGGUGUUCCUGGGAAAGAUGAAUGCCUCUGGAAGCGGAAAUUCUUGGCAAUAAGAAAAAAAACCCGCCCGGGGGCGGACAGCCCACCGAGCAACUCCCAGCCGCCGGGGUUCAGCAAGGGUCUGGGUCCUGCGGCUCAUGAUCUUGCAGGAGGGCAGGUCUGUGGAGAGCCUGGGGCUCGGGGCCCAUCCCCUGCCUCUCCCCUGGGCUGGGGCUGCCUUCCCAGCACCAGCGCCCUGAGCCACCUUGCCGAUUGUAAUAAGGGGGAGACCAGGCAGGCCAGGCAGAUCUUGGCAUCUCGGCUUCUGCAAGUGAGGAAACCUUGAAGCCCCUCCUAGGAAUCUGGGGGAGGUGUGGGGAUCCCGAGCCCAAGGCGGUUGGCGGGAGGGUCCAAACAGGCAGAGGGGGUGGCCAGGGGAGGCUUCACAGUGAAGGUGAUAUUUGAGCACAAUCUACCCAGAAAUGGGGUGUUAGGCAAGUUCUUUAUCCUUCUGGAUGCCUAGCAAUAGUCAUGGUAAGAACAGAGCUAACAAGCGGCACGCUUGACCUGCAGCCUUCCGAGUUCCUUACGCACAUGGAACUCCUUGACUCUUGAGGCAGGUGCUAUUAUUGCCUCAUUUUACCAGGUGGAAAGAAGAGGCAGAGAAAAAAGUAGGUUUGCCUGAGUAGGUUAGCUGAGAUCACACAGUUAAUGACUCAGCAGGCAGGUCUGGCUCCAGAGCCUGCCCCUUUCUUUGCCAGCCCUAAAAGGGGUGGUCUCGAACAGGGAUCUCGGGUCCGGCCCGAUGUCAACAAGCAAAAUUGAGAAGAAGUGAUUGCCUGUGCAUGGCUCGUGCUUUAUCCGGGUGGGCUCCUCCCGGUGCUUCCAUUUCUCUGUCUCCAAAGCCGAGUAACUAACCACUGUUCCCAUGUCGACCGUUUCUGAAACAUCAUGCUAGACUUCAGGGGACGUCCCAGUAUGACACUGGCUGGGGAGCCAGUCCUAAGAAACAGAUCCUCGCUUUGGGCGGAAAGAAGCAAGUGCAUUAGAAAGGGGGCUAAGAAGCCGGGCAACUGACAACAUCAGCAAAUCCCAAAGUAAUUUCCAGCUGGUUUGGAACGCAGCUGCUUUGACCUCCUAAUUAUGCUGCUUGCCCUGGACGCCCAAUGCCAUGGCCAGGUGGGAAGCCGGCAUGGACCGACAGCGGGAAGAUUCCCUUUCGUGGGAGAGAGGAAGAAGAGCCAGAGGACUGAGCCCAGCCGGGUUACUUUGAAGCUCAAGUGAGGCAAAAAUGCAGGAAGGCACUUUGAAGACUUUGUAAAGCACCAUCAGAGCAUGUUACAGGAAUGGCUGCAGGGCACUGCUGUCUGCACUACAGUAAUAAAGGAACACUCGGAUAGAUAUCACCGCUUCCAGUGAUAAGCAAUCUCCAGGAAUCUGCAGCGAGAUCGCUGGUUGACUGGAAAUGCUCUCUAUUUCUCCAGAGGGUAUCUGUCCUUGAAGAAGCCACUCAUUGCCUAGAAAAUAAAAAGGCAGUGCCUCUCAGAAAGGACGUCGGUGUCGUACUGAGGAAGGCCAAGUUUACAUGGACUUUCGGCUUAAAGAGGGGUUAGAAAUCAAGAGCCCGCAUCUGGAAAACACAAGAACAUGCUUUCCUGCCAUCUUAAAGAGAAGAGGCAGAGCACAGUCUCAUGACUUCUCAACGACUUGGGUCAUUAGUACAAACACUGGACCGCCUACUGAGUGCAAGCAAGUAAUGGGGCUCGAGUUCUACCUCUGGCAUCUCUAAAGAAGAAAAUGUAGCUUCAGGCUUAACGUAAAUCAAGUCCUUUUGAAAUGAAGCAAGCACCAGCUGAAAGCACUGAAGCACUGGACAGACGCAGACGUGGGAGAGUAAAAGGAACGGGCCAUCUACCACAGCGUUGUCAGGUCUGAAGACUGGGAGCUAGGAAGUAAGAAGAUCUGUUACUUCAAGCACAAGUACAUUAUAGAUUACCGGCAAAGGUCCAGAUGAUGGCUGCUGCAUCAGCCUGGUCAACAGCUCGGCAGAGGAGUGCUCCCCACCGAACCUACGUGAGCAAGAAGAAACCAACCUUAUCUCACGCUCCUGAGAAUCCGGGUUGUUUGUUACGGUGCCAGAGCCCAGCGCAUCCCAACUAGCACAGAGGUGCUGCGAGAAGAGAGACCCGAGGAGAGGGGAUUCUGUGGACUCGUGUAGUUCGCCCAAAGAGAGAGACGGUCACUUACUUUUUC